GCGGGUGUAGCUCAGCUGGUUAGAGCGUCCGCCUGUCACGCGGAAGGUCGUGGGUUCAAGUCCCAUCACUCGCGCAA
rnacentral:tRNA from 1 species